CAGCCGCCACGGUAAUACGUAGGGUGCGAGCGUUAAUCGGAAUUACUGGGCGUAAAGCGUGCGCAGGCGGUUUUGUAAGACAGGCGUGAAAUCCCCGGGCUCAACCUGGGAAUGGCGCUUGUGACUGCAAAGCUAGAGUGCGGCAGAGGGGGAUGGAAUUCCGCGUGUAGCAGUGAAAUGCGUAGAUACGCGGAGGAACACCGAUGGCGAAGGCAAUCCCCUGGGCCUGCACUGACGCUCAUGCACGAAAGCGUGGGGAGCAAACAGGAUUAGAUACCCCUGUAGUCCCUGUCUCUUAUAC
rnacentral:rRNA from 1 species